rnacentral:rRNA from 1 species
AUGAGGGGCCUUAUAGAGCGGCUGUGGCCAUUGGAGGCCAUGCCCGGGAGCUACUUCGGCUUGGUGCAGCGGCUGGUGGAUGCCUGUCCGCGGCUUGAAGUUAUCAAGUGCUCCGUCUGUAUUGAAGGGGUCCGUCGGGCCCUUGCCCGUGCUAAAGUGCACUGGGGGAAGCUGGAUGCGGAGAAGCUUGUGAUGGACGGGCCACCGAAGGGCCAUGAGCAUCGCACGCCCGAAAUGUAUUAUGAGGGCCUCCUGAAGGGUGCUCGCCGAAUAGCGGAUGAGUGCUCCAAGGAUGUAAUUUUUGAAUAG